CCUACGGGAGGCANCAGUGGGGAAUUUUGGACAAUGGGCGCAAGCCUGAUCCAGCAAUGCCGCGUGAGUGAAGAAGGCCUUCGGGUUGUAAAGCUCUUUUGUCAGGGAAGAAACGGUCUACUCUAAUACAGUGGGCUAAUGACGGUACCUGAAGAAUAAGCACCGGCUAACUACGUGCCAGCAGCCGCGGUAAUACGUAGGGUGCAAGCGUUAAUCGGAAUUACUGGGCGUAAAGCGUGCGCAGGCGGUUAUAUAAGUCAGAUGUGAAAUCCCCGGGCUCAACCUGGGAACUGCAUUUGAGACUGUAUGGCUAGAGUGUGUCAGAGGGGGGUAGAAUUCCACGUGUAGCAGUGAAAUGCGUAGAUAUGUGGAGGAAUACCGAUGGCGAAGGCAGCCCCCUGGGAUAACACUGACGCUCAUGCACGAAAGCGUGGGGAGCAAACAGGAUUAGAUACCCUGGUAGUCCACGCCCUAAACGAUGUCUACUAGUUGUCGGGACUUAAUUGUCUUGGUAACGCAGCUAACGCGUGAAGUAGACCGCCUGGGGAUACGGUCGCAAGNUUAAAACUCAAAGGAAUUGACGGCUGAGACGNGCGACGACGACGACGAGGGAGGAGG
rnacentral:rRNA from 1 species